rnacentral:rRNA from 1 species
GGGGAAUAUUGCGCAAUGGGGGCAACCCUGACGCAGCCAUGCCGCGUGAAUGAAGAAGGCCUUCGGGUUGUAAAGUUCUUUCGGUAGCGAGGAAGGCACUUAGUUUAAUAAACUAGGUGAUUGACGUUAACUACAGAAGAAGCACCGGCUAACUCCGUGCCAGCAGCCGCGGUAAUACGGAGGGUGCGAGCGUUAAUCGGAAUAACUGGGCGUAAAGGGCACGCAGGCGGUGACUUAAGUGAGGUGUGAAAGCCCCGGGCUUAACCUGGGAAUUGCAUUUCAUACUGGGUCGCUAGAGUACUUUAGGGAGGGGUAGAAUUCCACGUGUAGCGGUGAAAUGCGUAGAGAUGUGGAGGAAUACCGAAGGCGAAGGCAGCCCCUUGGGAAUGUACUGACGCUCAUGUGCGAAAGCGUGGGGAGCAAACAGGAUUAGAUACCCUGGUAGUCCACGCUGUAAACGAUGUCGAUUUGGGGGUUGAGCUUUAAGUUUGGCGCCCGUAGCUAACGUGAUAAAUCGACCGCCUGGGGAGUACGGCCGCAAGGUUG